rnacentral:rRNA from 1 species
AGUGAACGCUGGCGGUAGGCCUAACACAUGCAAGUCGAACGGCAGCACAGGAGAGCUUGCUCUCUGGGUGGCGAGUGGCGGACGGGUGAGGAAUACAUCGGAAUCUACUUUUUCGUGGGGGAUAACGUAGGGAAACUUACGCUAAUACCGCAUACGACCUACGGGUGAAAGCAGGGGACCUUCGGGCCUUGCGCGAUUGAAUGAGCCGAUGUCGGAUUAGCUAGUUGGCGGGGUAAAGGCCCACCAAGGCGACGAUCCGUAGCUGGUCUGAGAGGAUGUUCAGCCACACUGGAACUGAGACACGGUCCAGACUCCUACGGGAGGCAGCAGUGGGGAAUAUUGGACAAUGGGCGCAAGCCUGAUUCAGCCAUACCGCGUGGGUGAAGAGGGCCUUCGGGUUGUAAAGCCCUUUUGUUGGGAAAGAAAUCCAGCUGGCUAAUACCCGGUUGGGAUGACGGUACCCAAAGAAUAAGCACCGACUAACUUCGUGCCAGCCGCCGCUGUAA